AGGCGACCGCAGAGUGCAGAGUCUUUUCCUGUGUUUUCGUUCGGGUUAUUCAAUGCUGGCAGCACAUGUUGUGGCGAAAUCUUUAAUCAAACAUCGUACGACUGUCUUCAAUCGGGAAGCGCACCUUGAUUAACCGAAAUUACCAUUGAAAUGCCCAGGAAAGCAACACAAAACAAAUUAAUUCGUAGAAAAAGUUUCGCAGAAUCGCUGCAGCCAAAAGAAGAACACAAAUCGCUUUUACGGAAUUACGGAAACUGUUGUAAGAAGAGGGUUUCGCUGCCCAGCGACGACAGAGGGACGGACCGCAGAUCCGACACCAGAUCAGCCGCCAGAUCGGUUCAGCUGGAUGAGAUGAAAUGGGAUGGGAUGAGAUGAGAUGGGACAUCGACAGCUACAGCUACAGCCACAACCAGAACCAGAACGACAACAGGUAACAGAAGCCGUAUACGCCAGAUUAACGCCCGAGGCGAGAUGGCUUCGACUUCGACUUUGACUUUGAUCUGCAGCGACUUUUGCACUUGCGCAAAAAAAAAAAAGCAAAU